GAAAGAAGAAAUUCAAAGCCUGGAAGGGUAAGUCAGCGACACAAGGUAUAUGGAAGAACGAUAAUUUUGCACAAAAGAAAUGGAAGAACGAAGAAAUUGAUGAACGGGAAGGCAAACCAGGAUCUUCAGAAAGAAGAAACACCAACGAUAGUCACUAAAAGAAGAAGGAUAAACGAAACGUGGAAUGUUUUACGUGCCAUAAGAUGGGACACUUCUCCUAUGAGUGUUGGUUCAAUAAGGGUAGAUCUUCCAAGAAGGAUCAAGGCAGGAAGCACAUCUGGCGAAGGAGGAAUCAGACACAGAACCUUUAGUACUCAUGGUUACAACAUCUCCAGAAAACGACGAAGCACUGAAUUGUGUGAAACAGUCCUGGUACUUAGAUUCGGGUUGUUCGAAUCACAUGACUUGUAACAGAGAGUGGAUGUUUAAUGUUGAUGNAACGAGGAAAAGCAAGGUAAGGGUGGCAGAUAAUAACGUCUUGCAGGUUGAAGGCAUCGGGGACGUGGUUAUAAAGAGGAAGAAUGGAACGCAUGUGACGAUUAAGGAUGUUNUAUUGGUUCCAGAGAUGAAAUGUAAUCUGCUAAGCCUCAGACAGCUAGUAGAAAAAGGCUUCACGGUGACUAUGGGCAAGAAGGGUCAAGCAGAAAUCUUAGACAGGAACAAGAAAGUGAUUCUGCGAACAAACAUCUCCAGAAAUCGUACGUUCCAAGUCUGUCUGGAUAUGGUAGAAAUGCAAUGCAUGACAGUUGUGAAAGAAAAUGAUAAUUGGAGAUGGCAUCUCAGGUUUGGACAUCUCAAUUUUGCAGAUUUACAGAAACUAAGCAAGAAAGAAAUGGUUUCUGGGUUACCUGUCAUUACUAUACCUGAGAAAUCAUGCGAGUCUUGCAUUGUUGCAAAGCAAACAAGAAGACCCUUCAAAGCACAGUUAGAAAUGAGAUCAAAUGAGCGUCUUGAAGUGAUACACUCAGAUGUGUGUGGUCCAUUAGAAACACCAACACUGGCUGGAAAUAGAUAUUUCAUCACGUUCAUUGACGAGUUUAGUCGAAUGACAUGGGUAUUUCUCAUGCGGUUUAAAAGCGAGGCUCUGGAAAUAUUCAAAAGGUUUAAGGUUCGCACUGAGAAAGAGGUUGAAAGACAAAUUAAGUUGCUGAGAACUGAUGGCGGUGGAGAAU
rnacentral:lncRNA from 1 species